AGAGUUUGAUCAUGGCUCAGAGCGAACGCUGGCGGCAGGCUUAACACAUGCAAGUCGAGCGGGCGUAGCAAUACGUCAGCGGCAGACGGGUGAGUAACGCGUGGGAACAUACCUUUUGGUUCGGAACAACACAGGGAAACUUGUGCUAAUACCGGAUAAGCCCUUACGGGGAAAGAUUUAUCGCCGAAAGAUUGGCCCGCGUCUGAUUAGCUAGUUGGUGAGGUAACGGCUCACCAAGGCGACGAUCAGUAGCUGGUCUGAGAGGAUGAUCAGCCACAUUGGGACUGAGACACGGCCCAAACUCCUACGGGAGGCAGCAGUGGGGAAUAUUGGACAAUGGGCGAAAGCCUGAUCCAGCAACGCCGCGUGAGGGAUGACGGCCUUCGGGUUGUAAACCUCUUUCAGUACCGACGAAGCGCCAAUAACGGUGGUGACGGUAGGUACAGAAGAAGGACCGGCCAACUACGUGCCAGCAGCGGCGGUAAUAC
rnacentral:rRNA from 1 species